GCCUCUGUGGCUCAUUUGAUUAGAGUGCUGCACUGGAAUUGCAGAGCUGCAGGUUUAAUUCCUGCCAGAGGAC